UACGAGGGGGGCAAGCGUUGUUCGGAAUUAUUGGGCGUAAAGGGCGCGUAGGCGGUUUGACAAGUCUGAUGUGAAAUCUAUGGGCUCAACCCAUAGCCUGCAUUAGAAACUGUCGGGCUUGAGUAUGGGAGAGGUGAGUGGAAUUUCCGGUGUAGCGGUGAAAUGCGUAGAUAUUCGGAAGAACACCAGUGGCGAAGGCGGCUCACUGGCCCGGUACUGACGCUGAGGUGCGAAAGCGUGGGGAGCAAACAGG
rnacentral:rRNA from 1 species